GCCGCGGUAGCUCAGUAGGUAGAGCGACGGACUGAAAAUCCGUGCGUCGACAGUUCGAUUCUGCCCCGCGGCACCA
rnacentral:tRNA from 1 species